UACAUAAGUGGCGAGCGUUGUCCGGAUUUAUUGGGCGUAAAGGGCGUGUAGGCGGAUUAGUAAGUCGGUGGUGAAAUCCCAGGGCUCAACCCUGGAACUGCCUUCGAAACUGCUAGUCUUGAGUGUCAGAGGGGAAGAUGGAAUUCCUAGUGUAGCGGUGAAAUGCGUUGAUAUUAGGGAGAACACCGGUGGCGAAGGCGAUCUUCUGGCUGACAACUGACGCUGAGACGCGAAAGCCUGGGUAGCAAACGGG
rnacentral:rRNA from 1 species